UUGCCCUAGUAACGGCGAGUGAAGCGGCAACAGCUCAAAUUUGAAAUCUGGCUUCGGCCCGAGUUGUAAUUUGUAGAGGAUGCUUUGGGCGCGGCUCUAACUGAGUUCCCUGGAACGGGACGCCACAGAGGGUGAGAGCCCCGUAUAGUURGAUGCCUAGCCURUGUAAAGCUCCUUCGACGAGUCGAGUAGUUUGGGAAUGCUGCUCUAAAUGGGAGGUAAAUUUCUUCUAAAGCUAAAUAYCGGCCAGAGACCGAUAGCGCACAAGUAGAGUGAUCGAAAGAUGAAAAGCACUUUGAAAAGAGGGUUAAAUAGCACGUGAAAUUGUUGAAAGGGAAGCGCUUGUGACCAGACUUGCGCCGGGCRGAUCAUCCGGUGUUCUCACCGGUGCACUCYGCCCGGCUCAGGCCAGCAUCGGUUCUCGUGGGGGGAUAAAGGUCCCGGGAACGUAGCUCCUCCGGGAGUGUUAUAGCCCGGGGCGUAAUGCCCUCGCGGGGACCGAGGUUCGCGCAUCUGCAAGGAUGCUGGCGUAAUGGUCAUCAGCGACCCGUCUUGAAACACGGACCAAGGAGUCAAGGUUUUGCGCGAGUGUUUGGGUGUAAAACCCGCACGCGUAAUGAAAGUGAACGUAGGUGAGAGCUUCGGCGCAUCAUCGACCGAUCCUGAUGUAUUCGGAUGGAUUUGAGUAAGAGCGUUAAGCCUUGGACCCGAAAGAUGGUGAACUAUGCUUGGAUAGGGUGAAGCCAGAGGAAACUCUGGUGGAGGCUCGCAGCGGUUCUGACGUGCAAAUCGAUCGUCAAAUCUGAGCAU
rnacentral:rRNA from 2 species